AUGAGUUUCUCGAUGCGGCUGAGGCAAACAAGCAGAAUGGUUUUAUGUGUUGUCCAUGCACUGAAUGUGGGUACGAUGUCUUACUCUAACCAAAAAAUCCUUCACUCCCACCUGCUUUACAAGGGUUUCAUGCCACACUAUAAUGUUUGGACGAGGCACAAAGAAAUAGAGGUUAUGAUGGAAGACGGCGAAGAAGAAGAGUACGAUGACAACUAUGUGCCCCCUGAAUACUGUGAUGCUGCAACGGGGGGAGAUGGUGAAGAUCAAGAGGAACCAGACGAUGUGCCCAAUGAUGCUGCAACGUGUGAAGCUGCUGAAGAUCAAGAGGAACCAGACGAUGUGCCUGAUGAUGAUGAUCUCCGCCGGGUCAUUGUCGAUGCAAGGACGCAAUGUGAAAGUCAAAAGGAGAAGCUGAAGUUCGAUCGCAUGUUAGAGGAUCACAAAAAAGGUUUGUAG
rnacentral:rRNA from 1 species